rnacentral:rRNA from 1 species
GACGAACGCUGGCGGCGUGCUUAACACAUGCAAGUCGAACGCAGUGGCGAACGGGUGAGUAAUACGUGGGUAACCUGCCCUCCUUUUUGGGAUAAGCCUUGGAAACGGGGUCUAAUCCCGAAUAAAGGGGGAUGGGCUCGCGGCCUAUCAGCCUGUUGGUGGGGUGAUGGCCUACCAAGGCGGUGACGGGUAGCCGGCCUGAGAGGGGGGACGGCCAAAUGUGGUAGUAGAUACGGCCCAGACGUCUAAGGGAGGGAGCAGUGGGGGAUAUUGCAGAAGGGGACGAAGCCUGAUGCGGCGACGCCGCGUGGAGGAUGAAGGCUUUCGGGUUGGAAAGCCCUGUUUGUCGGACAGCGGUACCGAAAUAGAAAGCCACGGCUAACUACGUGCCAGCCGCCGCGGUAAUAC